GACGAACGCUGGCGGCGUGCCUAAUACAUGCAAGUCGAACGCAGUGGGGACGGGUGAGUAACACGUGGGUAACCUCCCAUCAGAGGGGAUAACACUUGGAAACAGGUGCUAAACCGAUACUGAUGGAUGGACCCGCGGUGCAUUAGCUAGUUGGUGAGGUAACUGCUCACCAAGGCAACGAUGCAUAGCCGCCCUGAGAGGGUGAUCGGCAACACUGGGACUGAGACAAGGCACAGAAUCGUACGGGAGGGAGCAGGAGGGAAUCUUCGGCAAUGGACGAAAGUCUGACCGAGCAACGCCGCGUGAGUGAAGAAGGUUGUCGGAGCGUAAAGCUCUGUUGUUAAGGAAGCGGUACUUAACCAGAAAGGGACGGCUAACUACGUGCCAGCAGCCGCGGUAAUUC
rnacentral:rRNA from 1 species